UACGGAGGGUGCAAGCGUUAUCCGGAAUCGCUGGGCGUAAAGCGUCUGUAGGUGGUCAAAUAAGUCAACUGUUAAAUCUUGAGGCUCAACCUCAAAAUCGCAGUCGAAACUAUUAGGCUAGAGUAUAGGAGGGGUAAAGGGAAUUUCCAGUGGAGCGGUGAAAUGCGUAGAGAUUGGAAAGAACACCGAUGGCGAAGGCACUUUACUGGGCUAUUACUAACACUGAGAGGCGAAAGCUUGGGUAGCAAAUGGG
rnacentral:rRNA from 1 species